AGCCAAAACCAUAUCGCCCCGUAGCGCAAGACCAAGUGCUCACUGAAGCUAAGCAGGGCUGAGUCUGGUUGGUACCUGGAUGGGAAAACACAUGGGAGAACUAGGUUUUUGUUG
rnacentral:rRNA from 1 species